rnacentral:rRNA from 1 species
AGGACGAACGCUGGCGGCGUGCUUAACACAUGCAAGUCGAGCGAGGCCCUUCCUUCGGGAGGGUGUCCUAGCGGCGAACGGGUGAGUAACACGUGGGCAACCUGCCCUCAGCUCUGGGAUAACUCCGGGAAACCGGGGCUAAUACCGGAUACGACCUCUAAGGGCAUCCGAAGAGGUGGAAAGUUUUUCGGCUGAGGAUGGGCCCGCGGCCUAUCAGCUUGUUGGUGGGGUGACGGCCUACCAAGGCGACGACGGGCAGCCGGCCUGAGAGGGUGACCGGCCACACUGGGACUGAGACACGGCCCAGACUCCUACGGGAGGCAGCAGUGGGAAUAUUGCGCAAUGGGCGAAAGCCUGACGCAGCGACGCCGCGUGAGGGACGAAGGCCUUCGGGUUGUAAACCUCUUUCAGCAGGGACGAAGCGAAAGUGACGGUACCUGCAGAAGAAGCACCGGCCAACUACGUGCCAGCAGCCGC